rfam:Salmo salar isolate Sally breed double haploid chromosome ssa06, whole genome shotgun sequence.
CCUGAUUGCUCCUGUAAGUCGCUCUGGAUAAGAGCGUCUGCUAAAUAACACAUU